CGGCCUGUAGCUCAGCGGGAGAGCACUCGGCUGAUAACCGGGCGACGGAGGUUCGAUUCCUUUCGGGCCGA
rfam:Paludisphaera borealis strain PX4, complete genome.